UAGGGAAUCUUCGGCAAUGGACGAAAGUCUGACCGAGCAACGCCGCGUGAGUGAAGAAGGUCUUCGGAUCGUAAAACUCUGUUGUCAGAGAAGAACAAGGACGUUAGUAACUGAACGUCCCCUGACGGUAUCUAACCAGAAAGCCACGGCUAACUACGUGCCAGCAGCCGCGGUAAUACGUAGGUGGCAAGCGUUGUUCGGAUUUAUUGGGCGUAAAGCUAGCGCAGGCGGUUUCUUAAGUCUGAUGUGAAAGCCCCCGGCUCAACCGGGGAGGGUCAUUGGAAACUGGGAGACUUGAGUGCAGAAGAGGAGAGUGGAAUUCCAUGUGUAGCGGUGAAAUGCGUAGAUAUAUGGAGGAACACCAGUGGCGAAGGCGGCUCUCUGGUCUGUAACUGACGCUGAGGCUCGAAAGCGUGGGGAGCAAACAGG
rnacentral:rRNA from 1 species